rnacentral:lncRNA from 1 species
AAGCAAGGAAUACAAAAAUCUUCAACAAUGAAACUCAAACCCCCGACCAAGUCCUUACCCUAUGUAUGCUUGCUGCUAUCCAGUGGAAACACAGGCUUGCACGCCUGAAAAAAGCAAUUGCCGACACCUGGUGUUCCGUCUUCCAGAUGGCAAGACAAGGCCAGGGAUAGAUUAGAAUGCCUACUAUUGUACCUUCCAAUUCUGUCUUGAUCACGAUGCUGUGACCUACAAUCUUUAAGCGCUAUGCUAAGCGUGCACAUGUAAUUUAAACAUCAGUCGUUUGGGGCAUAUAAAUAUACUUCAGGUGGGGAGCGACUCCCUCCGUUGACAGUAAAAAAAAUAUUUGAAAACUAUAGAUAUGGAACUAUUCCAACUGGAAAAAGGUUUGCACAUAACUUUUUCCAUCUUCUUAUAAUUAUCUCUAUCCUAACAGUAAUGAGAAAACUCACCCCCUAACAUUAAAAAAAAAUGAAAACAACUUCAAAUUAUCUCAAGGAUGAAAUGAACCUUCACAUGCCACUACAAAUUAAUUAUCAAAGAUGUGUGGUUCUUUUUUCUCGAAAUCUUGAUUCUUCUUCAUAGUUCAUACAAGACAAGAAAGUUCAUUCACAAACCGAAGGACCUCACAAAGAAACUCCAACAUCUCC